GAUGAACGCUGGCGGCGUGCCUAAUACAUGCAAGUCGAGCGAACGGACGAGACGCUUGCUUCUCUGACGUUCGCGGCGCACGGGUGAGUAACAUGUGUGGAACCUACCUUUAAGACUGGGAUAACUUCGUGAAACCGGAGCUAAUACCGGCUUAUCUUUUCAACCGCAUGGUUCAAAAGUUAAAGACGGUUUUGCUGUCGCUGAUAGAUGGAUCCGGGCGGCAUUAGCUAGUUGGUCAGGUAACGUCUUACCAAGGCGACGAUGCAUAGCUGACCUGAGAGGGUGACCGGCCACACUGGAACUGAGACACGGUCCAGACUCCUACGGGAGGCAGCAGUGGGGAAUAUUGCGCAAUGGGCGAAAGCCUGAUGCAGCAACGCCGCGUGUGUGAUGAAGGUCUUCGGGUCGUAAAGCUCUGUUAGCGGGGAGGAACAGAUGUGUAAGUAACUGUGCACAUAUUGACGGUACCUGAUCAGAAAGCCCCGGCUAACUCCGUG
rnacentral:rRNA from 1 species